CAGAAGAGGUUUUGAGGCCGACACCCCCAAGACCUCGCAGGACCCCGCCCCCUUCUCUGCCUCCUCCCCCUCUCCACCUCUACCUGUCUCCUGAUGUAUAGAACCCAUUGCUGAACGGUUUGAUGGAGAGUUCUAACCAGUUUAAUGUCAGCGGGAACAGUAGUAAUAAGUGGAGGACUUCUCGCCACAGUCAUCCUGCUCUGUAUUGUAGCAGUGCUGUGCUACUGCAGGCUCCAGUACUACUGCUGUAAGAAAAAUGAGUCGGAGGUGGACUUGGCUUCCGUGGCUGGAGGAGGUGACGGAACGGGAGGAGGAGAAGGGGAUGCUCAAGGGGAGGUUCAGGCUCACUUUGCCUGCAAUGCGUGCAGCGCCCCUGGGAUGGACAGCCUGGCUGUCACCCCUCUCUGCCUGGAGCCCC